UGCAAUCAGUGAUGAAUAUUUAACAUGUCUACUGAAAUUCUUUGUGAUUACUGUAUUCAAUUUUCACCAUCUUUCAACUGAGAUUGCA
rnacentral:snoRNA from 1 species